UUGUCACUGCAGGGCCCCGCGGCC
rnacentral:miRNA from 1 species